rnacentral:rRNA from 1 species
GACGAACGCUGGCGGCGUGCCUAAUACAUGCAAGUCGAACGCUUUUUCUUUCACCGGAGCUUGCUCCACCGAAAGAAAAAGAGUGGCGAACGGGUGAGUAACACGUGGGUAACCUGCCCAUCAGAAGGGGAUAACACUUGGAAACAGGUGCUAAUACCGUAUAACACUAUUUUCCGCAUGGAAGAAAGUUGAAAGGCGCUUUUGCGUCACUGAUGGAUGGACACGCGGUGCAUUAGCUAGUUGGUGAGGUAACGGCUCACCAAGGCAACGAUGCGUAGCCGACCUGAGAGGGUGAUCAGCCACCCUGGGACUGAGACACGGCCCAGACUCCUACGAGAGGCAGCAGUAGGGAAUCUUCGGCAAUGGAAGAAAGUCUGACCGAGCAACGCCGCGUGAGUGAAGAAGGUUUUCGGAUCGUAAAACUCUGUUGUUAGAGAAGAACAAGGAUGAGAGUAAAAUGUUCAUCCCUUGACGGUAUCUAACCAGAAAGCCACGGCUAACUACGUGCCAGCCGCCGCAGUAA